rnacentral:lncRNA from 1 species
CCAAAAAAUGAGCCUUCGAUGUCAUGGGCUCGGUGCAUGCGAUAUGCGGAGGUUGGUGUCACAGUAGAAAAAUUUGUCUUCAUGGCCGCAAAGACAGGUGACUUUGUAGAAUUUGAUCAUGCGCUUGGAUUACAACCUCAAUUCUCAAGCUACACUAUCAAUAACAAUCAUGAACGGGCUUUUAAUACAAAAAACAAGUUUGAAGAUAUAACAUCCAAAACCAAAUUUGAAAUUGAUCUUCUAGUGAAGAACCAAAUUGCUUCUUCAAGUAAUAAAGAAGACCAUAAUAAUGAUCCUUCAUCUACUUCAAGGUAUGUAUUUAUGCUUGUACUUUUAUUAGGAUAAAAUUUGAGUUUUUAUUGACAAUAUAUUAGGUUUAUAAUAAAAAUAAAAAUUAUUUUAUAGUUUCUUCUUACUAAAUAAAUAAACAUAUUUUAUUCUUUUGAAAAUUUAAAAUUGUAUGAAUAGAUAUUUCAUGUAUUAGAAAAAAAAUUAAUGUUCCCAAAUUCAUGAAAAGUUAAGUUUUAGAACAGAGGCUUGUGUUAAGUGUUUUAAAACCACAUAUGACUGAGAAAGGAAAAAGUGUGACUUGCUUCUGUAUUAAACUUUAAUCACUAGAACAAUAAAUUUAGAUUAAAGCAAUGAAUUACUCUUUCAAAAAAACCCUGUUGACAUUUGAAAACGGUUCUAAUCCAAUCAUAAUGCUUUGUAGUAAGAAUAAUGUAGAAUAUGAAGGAAAACCAUCCACAGAAAAAUCCGAUGUACACAAUCACCAAAAUGACGAAAAAAAUAUGUUUAAUAACAUAUUUAAUUUUCAAAGACAACCAUACUUUACCCAAAAAAAAUCUAAUACACCGGUAAUUGAUUUUCAAUUAAAACAAGUCAUUGCACCAAACAAUGAUGUGCUUAAGCGGAUGGUCCCCGUUAUUGUUUUUGCAAUUGUUCAAGGUUUAGAUGAAUUCCAAGAUACUAUUCCAAAUUUUAUAGAGAAUUUCAUUAAACUCAAAAGAUUUGUUUUUGUAGAUAUCCUAGAAAGUCUAACAAUCCAUAUGAGAGAACACCAAAUUCAACAAGUUAGAAUCCAAAAACUAGAAAAAUUAAAUAGAUUGAUCAAUGAAAACAUUGCUUUUAAAAAUAAUGUUAAAAAUGAGAGUAAGAGCAGAAAGGGUUUUAUUGAUGGAGAUGAUAAUGUGAAUAACGAUAAUUAUAAUAAAAACUCAUGUCAUCUAAGCAAAAUGCAAUUUUCUAUGAGUACUCAAGCCCUAAACAAAGUUGAGGAUUUGAAUAACUCACCAUUAAAGUUUCAAACUCAUGAAAAUGCAUCUAAAAAUCUGAAUUCGAAUUUUAGAUAUGAACCACGUAUCUUAGAAAAUGGAUUUA